UACGUAGGGUGCGAGCGUUGUCCGGAAUUAUUGGGCGUAAAGAGCUCGUAGGCGGUUUGUCACGUCUGCUGUGAAAUCCCGAGGCUCAACCUCGGGCCUGCAGUGGGUACGGGCAGACUGGAGUGCGGUAGGGGGAGAAUGGAAUUCCUGGUGUAGCGGUGGAAUGCGCAGAUAUCAGGAGGAACACCGAUGGCGAAGGCAGUUCUCUGGGCCGUAACUGACGCUGAGGAGCGAAAGCGUGGGGAGCGAACAGG
rnacentral:rRNA from 1 species